rnacentral:rRNA from 1 species
CGGCGAGUGAAGCGGCAAUAGCUCAAAUUUGAAAGCUGGCGCCUUCGGCGUCCGCGUUGUAAUUUGUAGAGGAUGCUUCGGCGAGGACUCCUGCCUAAGUUCCCUGGAAUGGGACGUCACAGAGGGUGAGAAUCCCGUAUGUGGCGGGCGGUCCAAGCCAUGUGAAGCUCCUUCGACGAGUCGAGUUGUUUGGGAAUGCAGCUCUAAAUGGGAGGUAAAUUUCUUCUAAAGCUAAAUACCGGCCAGAGACCGAUAGCGCACAAGUAGAGUGAUCGAAAGAUGAAAAGCACUUUGGAAAGAGAGUUAAAAAGUACGUGAAAUUGUUGAAAGGGAAGCGCUUGCAACCAGACUCGCUCGCAGUUGCUCAGCUCGCCUCUUGGCGGGUGUACUCUUCUGCGAUCGGGCCAGCAUCAGUUCGGGCGGCCGGAUAAAGGUGUCGGGAAUGUAGCACCCUUCGGGGUGUGUUAUAGCCCGGCGCGGAAUGCGGCCAGCCUGGACUGAGGAUCUCGCUUCGGCAAGGAUGCUGGCGUAAUGGUUGUAAGCGGCCCGUCUUGAAACACGGACCAAGGAGUCUAACAUCUAUGCGAGUGUUUGGGUGUCAAACCCAUGCGCGUAAUGAAAGUGAACGGAGGUGGGAACCCGCAAGGGUGCACCAUCGACCGAUCCUGAUGUCUUCGGAUGGAUUUGAGUAAGAGCAUAGCUGUUGGGACCCGAAAGAUGGUGAACUAUGCCUGAAUAGGGUGAAGCCAGAGGAAACUCUG